UUAUUCAGAUUUUCAUGUUUGAAUUUUUUCCGGCAAAUCUGUUUUGAACGCCCGCAAAUGACCUAUCUGUCUUGAAUCAGGUUGGUCUACUGACGUUGUCCUGCAAGUGGCAUCGUAAGGACCCGACUCUGAGUAUUUUUUUCAGCCUGCGACUUAGGAGCGUAAGUUGAGUUAUUCAUAUUUUCAAUGUUAUUUUUUUCUGGCAAAUCUGUUUCGAACGCCCGCAAACGACCUAUCUAUCUUGAAU